ACUCUAAAUUUACCAUGCCUAUCUAAAGAAAAAGCAGAUAUGCCAGAAACAUUAAAUGAACUCAAAAAAGCUCUACAAGCAAUGAAGAAAGGGAAAGCUCCUGGUAUGGAUGGUAUACUUAUUUAAUGGUAUAUUUAUUUAACAUUCUUUUCCCAACUAGGUCUGCCUCAGAGGGAUGCGAACACGGCAAUGAUCACUCUUCUUCUCAAACCACAAAAAGACCCAACCUCCUGCAGCAGUUAUCAUCCCCUCUCUUUGAUUGGAUCAGAUGUCAAAUUAUUUGCCAAGGUGCUUGCAACACACCUUGGAACAUAUAUGACUAAAUUAGUUCACCAUGAUCACACAGGGUUUAUUAAAAAUCGACUUGCCUGAUUCGGCUCUCCCCACUUUACUCACCAAUAAGCAUUAAUAAUACUCAUCAUUACAUUUCUUUAUAUGCUGAUGACAUUCUGCUUUUAAUUAAUAAUGUACCUGAAACACUUCCUCAUUCCUCAUAUCCACUCUGGAUAUUUUUUGCAGUCACUGUGGGUAUAAGGUCAAUAACACAAAAUCUGCACUUCUUCCUUUGAAUGAUGCCAUGAGGAAGACAAAUCUGACUUCUUUAAUUAUCCAUAUAGUACAUCAAUUUAGGUACCUUGGGAUUGAAAUUCAUUCAUCCCUUCAAUUAACAGUUAAGAAAAAUUUUAACCAGAUAUUUAAUAAAAUCUGUGAUGAUAUGAGGAACUGGAGUUGUUUCACCUAGGAUUGAAAAUUUAUAUUCUCCCUAGAGUUAAUGUAAUAAGUUCUAUAAUUCCGUUACCUCCUCCUGUAGGUUUCUGGGACAAACUUCACUCUUGUAUCUCAGCUUAUAUAUGGAAAGGCAAGAAACUUCGAAUUAAACUUGCUACUCUUCAGCGUAAUAAAGCAGACUGAGGACUUUCUCUUCCUAAUUUUAAAUUAUAUUAUUAUUCCUUUGUUAUUUGUCCAUUGUCAGUUUGGCUCAAUUCAGAUACUCAAACAUCUUGGCGGUUUCUUGAGGAAAGUCUGGUUGCUCCACAUAGAUUACAAGAUCUCAUCUACUCGAAUAAUCCUAUAAAGCAAUGUAAACUGAGACAUGGUCCUCUAAUUAGUAACUUACUUGUGACAUGGCGGGUGAUAGAAAAACUAACUAAAACCACAAUUGUCUGGCACAAAUGCUCCCCAGUUUUUCGCAACUAUAAAUUACUAACUGCCAAUAAGCCUUUCUUCUUUCCUCAAUGGCAACAAAAGGGAAUAUAUGUUCUGGAUGACAUCUUUAAUGAUUCGGGACUUCGGACAUUCCAAGACUUGCUCGCAUUUUAUAGUAUACCAGGUUUCUUGGUUGGGUAUCCAAAGUUUAUGUUAUUGUGCUACGUGCUGUAUAUAAAACUUUAGGUCUACAAACCAUAUGGGAAAAAGAGCUAAAAAGUGCCCAAGGUCAAAUCAAUUUGCCUAUUAUAUGGAAUAACAUCACUUCAGCCUCUAAGAAUCCUAACCAUCUGCUUAUUCAUUACAAUUUUAUCCACAGAUCCUAUUUAACUCCCUGCAGACGCUACCAUAUGUGCCUUAUUGCAUCUCCUCUUUGUAAUUUCUGUUCUGAUGGUACAUAUGAUACAUUUUUACAUAUGUACUGGGAGUGUUUAACUGUGCGUAAGUUUUGGACUAAGGUUUCUUUUACAUUAUCAGACAUUCUCAAUAAAACCACUCCAAAUUCAGUACAAACUUUGCAUUUGUUUGAUGAUUGUUUGAUGAUGAAUGUAAUUUAAAUUGUGCUGAAAAGCGAAUCUGGCUAUCUGGCUAUCUAUGCUCUGCUCACAUGAUGAAACUCAUGUCUGUCAAGACUACCAAGGUUAAGUUAAAGAAAUCAAUCUGGAUAAAGAAAGGCUCUGUUCCUAUACUCCUUUGGUCUUCUGUUAAAUACAGCCUCACUGACCCAAAUGAAGAUUCUUUUCAGAAGAAUUGUAUAUGUGUUUUCAUGGCAAAAAAGGAGACAAAUGAUUGCAAGAACAGUUUGAGCUCUGAAGAAAGCAUAGACAACCAAUCAACAGACUUGUUGGGUACUAGUGAGGUGGACACUUGCUCUGAUGGAGAAUCACAUGAGCAAGUUGAGUUGGAGGUAAAGAAAAGCUCACCUUUUGCAGAUGUGUUGGCCAGCGUUUUUAGCAUGCACAUGAGAGACUGAAGUUUGGAGCUGAUGACAAUGAUGGACCAUGUACUGAAAAUUCAAACUUCUGCCCUGAGCUGGUGGAUUUGUUGGAACGUUACAUGGGCACCAUACCCCUUUUGUCAGGAGUGAUGUUAAAACAAUUUCACAAAACUUGGGAUACAGAUGCCCCAGCAGAAAACUGGUUCCAAAGAACAAAAUGAAUUGCUCUAAGAAACCAGCUACACUGCCAACCUGGAGAUUUCUGACAGAUAAUGUCUGAGUUUGUUGCGGGUAGAGUAUGGGGGAUGACACUAAUGAGUCACAAGAAAAUCAGUAGAUCAGAAAUGAAAGGUCGGAAGGACACCAAUAUGACUGAAGAUCCCUCCCAAAAAGAACCUUUCAUUCAAGAAGUAAAAAAAGGCAAAAGAGAUUGCCCAGGAAAAAGCCAAAGUACUUUACUGAUCCACUGUCAAAAACUGCAACUGAACUAGAGUCUCUAAAGAAUGAAGACCAGUGGAUUGACUGACAUCUUAAAGUGCAUUGGCAUUUCACAAUCAGGCAGUGGACAGAAGGGAAGAUUUUGUGGCUUAGUAACAUUCCAAGAUUUCAAGUAAAGAAAUAUUGGGAUUGUUUUGGUUCAGAAGAGGCCUUCCUAUUAUGCCGUCUCGAUUACCUCCAGGCAACACACUGGGAGAUAACCUGCUCUUCCCAGAGCUGUCCAUUGCUGUCACUGAGAAGAAUGUCAAAUCUACUUGAGGUUUUAUGCAAUGAUUUCACAGCACUGCAGUGUUCAAUUGAUUCCUGGGCAGAAGAUUCCCAAACAGUAUGUGGGCAGAAAAACUACAUCACGACCUUUGCCAUCUGACCUUCAACCAGUGUCAUUGCCAUCAUAAUAACAGAC